CUGCUCAUUUUUUUUCUUGGGCAGCUGGUCUAGGGAUAGUCGCCUUCAAGGAGAGUCCUUACACAUACACUCAAAUUAGGCAAACACCCGGGUGGCCAGUGACAAACACUGCCCUUUGCAUCAAAGGGCAGUGCUGUGUGAUCAAAACAGUGAA